GGAAAAGUGAGGUCCAGAGAGGCUUAGCUGGCUGAGUGUGACUGAGAAGAAAAGGCUUGGGGCUGCAAACUCCACAGAGAUAAAGGGGCUACUGCUAUCUUGCUUUGGUAGUUACAGUAAAUCAAGAUAAAGACACCAGUCUGCUUGGACUUGUGGAGAGGUAGCAAACAGUCCACAGACAGUUUGCUCAUUUCGGAAGAAAGCUCCUGACUGAGGUUCUUUAGAUGCGUUUAACGGAGGGACAGCUGUGCAGAAGCAUCACUGUCUCACUCUUUUCCAGACUGAUCAAAUGAAGCGUCUGUCAUGUCACACAUAUGGAGUUCUCUACCAACAGCAAAGGCUAUUUAGUCAAGUUCUACAGAUCAAAAGUCUAACACUGGUGUUAUUGGGCUGAAAUCCAGGCGAUGGCAGAGCUGCGCUCCUUUCUGGAGGCUCCGGGGAGAAUUCUCUUCCUUAACCUUUCAAGCUUCUCGAGGCCCUCUGCACUCCCUGGAGACAGGAGGAGAGAAGAAUCAUGGACUCCCUGGGCACAGCACCGCAGGUGGCUUUGCCAGUUCUCCCAGCCCCGCGCUGCUCCUGCGCCUGCGCUGAGCCUCCACGUGUCCUCAGGAGACUUAGCCUAGCCUGGGUAUCACCAGCAGUGGGCCAGGCCGCUUUGCCUUCAACUCCCAACAGUAACCUUGCAGAGGACUGAAGCAGGGACGCAGUGCUCAGCACGCCCAGCCCACCGCGGGCCACUGCGCGGAGAACCUCUGCCAGGGUCGCCUGCUCACGUCCCCUAAUCCGCUCCUGGCGCGCGUUCCUGUCCUCCUCCUGCUGUGACUAGUGUGCAUGGAAGGGCACAGUGGUGGCAGAAAGACUUGUGGCGAGAUAUCAAGAUCCACAGGAAGUCAUAAGAGAAAAAGCAUUUUGUUUGAACUCCACCCACUGACCUUUUGUGGGUGAGCUUUCGGUGAAACAGCAACAUCCUCAGAAAUCUUAGAGACACGGCUUUGUAACCCGGGGGAGAGACACCGCUUCCAAAUAUAAUUGACGUGGCUUUCCUGCCUUAAUUCGGGGUAUCCUUUUUCCACCACAUAAUCUUCCCUUUGUCCGCGCUGAUUCCUGUUUAGUUUGGCAGGGCCAGCUGCUGGCAGGCUCCCCCAGUGCUGAAUGCUCCGCGCUCCACUGUGCUGGGCCUGCUGAAAAAGCAGACAGCGCUCCCUCUCCCCCAGAAUCAGGAGCCAAAUGCCACACCGAUUGUGCAACUUGUCUCUGGUUACCAGGAAAACGUAAAGAAAUGCCAAUGAAGCAGAAAGGUCGACAAAAUUCUUUCCAACGCUUGAACAAAAAAGGUAUUUUUAGGGCCCUAGAUUUAUGGAAGUCAAUUCUUCCACUCCUCGCCAGGCUUUCAAACCUCCUAUUCUUUGCACUACAUUAUUUGAAUAAACCGUAAAUACCCUUAGUUGCUCUAAUAGCAACUGCUGGUCCAUAUUGUGCAAGGCGGCCAUGGUCUGAAGACCUUGUUGAAUUUGAAAGACAGAAGUUCCGUUUCUGGCACAUAAACUUGAAUCAGGGCUAUAGUUAAGAGUGCCAGUGAGGUCCACAUUUUGACAGCUAGAUAAGCAGGUCAUUUAUUCAAAAGGACUUUGAAUCCAUGCCCAGAGUCAAAUGCAGUCCUUUGUAAAGCCCAGCAGGCUUGAAAUAAAAACUUCUUAACU